rnacentral:rRNA from 1 species
UGGGGGAUAUUGCACAAUGGGCGAAAGCCUGAUGCAGCGACGCCGCGUGGGGGAUGAAGGCCUUCGGGUUGUAAACUUCUUUUGCUCUGAACAAGGCGCACCAUGGGGUGUGUUGAGUGUAGGGGUUGAUUAGCGCCGGCUAACUACGUGCCAGCAGCCGCGGUAAUACGUAGGGCGCGAGCGUUGUCCGGAAUUAUUGGGCGUAAAGGGCUUGUAGGUGGCUGGUUGCGUCUGUCGUGAAAGCUCAUGGCUUAACUGUGGGUUUGCGGUGGGUACGGGCUGGCUUGAGUGCAGUAGGGGAGGCUGGAAUUCCUGGUGUAGCGGUGGAAUGCGCAGAUAUCAGGAGGAAUACCGGUGGCGAAGGCGGGUCUCUGGGCUGUUACUGACACUGAGGAGCGAAAGCAUUGGGAGCGAACAGG